UGCAUGACUAAAUGCAUGACGCAUUGAACGUAAUUUUCUUUUUUGAAUUAACAUCUGUAUAAUAUAAAAUAAGAGAAUGUUAUUUAUUUGUGAAAUUGUUCAAACUACAAUAUUGAAAGCCUUGCAAGUGAGCAAUGAUGGAAAUUUUUUAAUGUGUGACUGAAGAUAUCUAAAGCCAAAUAAUAUGAAUGGGUAUCAGUACUUGAACUUUUAAAUAUUUCUUCCUUUUUUUUUUUUGCUAGCCCUGACAAAUUGUGGGACAUAGAAAUACAUGAGCACUAUUUUAUUGCUUAAACUAUAGUUUACAUUCAAUGGAAAAAAUUCCCUGAACAAAUCAAAUGAAUCUUCAUGUAAAUGUUUUUAACAUUGUCUCUAUUGCUUUCAUGUUUUUUGUUUUUUUUUUCUUUUGUUGGAUUGUCAUGAAAUGUAAUAAAACAUUGUUCAAUCG